rnacentral:rRNA from 1 species
GACGAACGCUGGCGGCGUGCUUAACACAUGCAAGUCGAACGGAAAGGCCCCUUUUGGGGUACUCGCGUGGCGGACGGGUGAGUAAGACGUGCGUAACUUGCCCUCGCUUUCGGGAUAACUACCGUAAACUGGGGCUAAUUCCUGCUAGGAAUCCUUGCCGCCUGGUGGGGGUUGGAAAGCUUCGGUGGUCUUGGAUGGACUCGCGGCUUACUUGUCUGUUGGUGGGGUAGUGGCUUACCAAGGCUUUGAUGGGUAGCUGGCCUGAGAGGGCGACAGGCCACAUUGGGGCUGAGAGACGGGCCAGAGACCUACGGGGGGGAGAGGGGGGGAAUAUUGCACAAUAGGCGGAAGCCUGAGGCAGAGACACGGCGUGCGGGAUGAGGGGCUUCGGGGUGUAAACCGCUUUCAGCAGGGGCGAGGCGUGUGGUGACGGUACCUGCAGAAGGAGCACCGGCUAACUACGUG